AACGAACGCUGGCGGCAGGCCUAACACAUGCAAGUCGAGCGGACCUUUCGGGGUCAGCGGCGGACGGGUGAGUAACGCGUGGGAAUAUGCCCUUCUCUACGGAAUAGUCCUGGGAAACUGGGGGUAAUACCGUAUACGCCCUUUGGGGGAAAGAUUUAUCGGGGAAGGAUUAGCCUGCGUUGGAUUAGGUAGUUGGUGGGGUAAUGGCCUACCAAGCCGACGAUCCAUAGCUGGUUUGAGAGGAUGAUCAGCCACACUGGGACUGAGACACGGCCCAGACUCCUACGGGAGGCAGCAGUGGGGGAUCUUAGACAAUGGGGGCAACCCUGAUCUAGCCAUGCCGCGUGAGUGAUGAAGGCCUUAGGGUUGUAAAGCUCUUUCAGCUGGGAAGAUAAUGACGGUACCAGCAGAAGAAGCCCCGGCUAACUCCGUG
rnacentral:rRNA from 1 species